GGCAAAGCUCAAUUUGAAAUCUGGCACUUCGGUGUCCGAGUUGUAAUUUGAAGAUUGUAACCUUGGGGUUGGCUCUUGUCUAUGUUUCUUGGAACAGGACGUCACAGAGGGUGAGAAUCCCGUGCGAUGAGAUGCCCAAUCCUAUGUAAGGUGCUUUCGAAGAGUCGAGUUGUUUGGGAAUGCAGCUCUAAGUGGGUGGUAAAUUCCAUCUAAAGCUAAAUAUUGGCGAGAGACCGAUAGCGAACAAGUACAGUGAUGGAAAGAUGAAAAGAACUUUGAAAAGAGAGUGAAAAAGUACGUGAAAUUGUUGAAAGGGAAGGGUUUGAGAUCAGACUCGAUAUUUUGUGAGCCUUGCCUUCGUGGCGGGGUGACCCGCAGCUUAUCGGGCCAGCAUCGGUUUGGGCGGUAGGAUAAUGGCGUAGGAAUGUGACUUUGCUUCGGUGAAGUGUUAUAGCCUGCGUUGAUGCUGCCUGCCUAGACCGAGGACUGCGAUUUUAUCAAGGAUGCUGGCAUAAUGAUCCCAAACCGCCCGUUCUUGAAAACACGGACCAAGGAGUCUAACGUCUAUGCGAGUGUUUGGGUGUUAAAACCCGUACGCGUCAAUUGAAAGUGAACGUAGGUGAGGGCUCUUUUGAGUGCACUCAUCGACCGAUCCUGAUGUCUUCGGAUGGAUUGAGUAAGAGCAUAGCUGUUGGACCCGAAAG
rnacentral:rRNA from 1 species